rnacentral:rRNA from 1 species
UACAGAGGGUGCGAGCGUUGUCCGGAAUCACUGGGCGUAAAGGGCGCGUAGGCGGCUUUAUAAGUCGGGGGUGAAAGCCUGUGGCUCAACCACAGAAUUGCCUUCGAUACUGUAGAGCUUGAGACCGGAAGAGGUAAGUGGAACUGCGAGUGUAGAGGUGAAAUUCGUAGAUAUUCGCAAGAACACCGAUGGCGAAGGCACUUUACUGGGCUAUUACUAACACUCAGAGACGAAAGCUAGGGUAGCAAAUGGG